rnacentral:sRNA from 1 species
UAGUGCAGCACUAACUCUUCAGAGGACUAGUCAGUCAUAGAGCAGGUACAGCAUGAGCAGCAGCAGUGCAAUCUUCAGCUGUGUUGCCCCCUUCCAAGGGCCUUAGCCCUACCUUAGUUGGGUCCCUUCUGUAGAGGCAGAGUGCAGAGACUUGAGUGCUAUUCCUGACUCUG